UACAGAGGUCUCAAGCGUUGUUCGGAUUCAUUGGGCGUAAAGAGCUCGUAGGCGGUUCGGUAAGUCGGGUGUGAAAACUCUGGGCUCAACCCAGAGCCGCCACCCGAUACUGCUGUGACUUGAGUUCGGUAGGGGAGCGGGGAAUUCCUGGUGUAGCGGUGAAAUGCGCAGAUAUCAGGAGGAACACCAGUGGCGAAGGCGCCGCUCUGGGCCGAGACUGACGCUGAGGAGCGAAAGCGUGGGUAGCAAACAGG
rnacentral:rRNA from 1 species